rnacentral:sRNA from 1 species
GCUGGGCACAGUGGUGUAGGCCUGUAAUCCAGUGAAUCAGGAGGCUGAGGCAGGAGGAUUGAAAGUUCAAGGCUAGCCUCAGCAAUUUAGCAAGGCCCUAAGCAACUUAGCGAGACCCUGUCUCAG